GUCUACAGCCAUACCACCCUGAACACUCCCGAUCUCAUCUGAUCUCAGAAGCUAAGCAGGGUCGGGCCUGGUUAGUGCUUGGAUAUUUGUAUUGCAAAAU
rnacentral:rRNA from 1 species